GUGAAAUCACUGGCACUUUUGUAGGAAGGAGUAUUGAAGGCUCUGUGGACAGUACUGAACAUUAACAAAUUCACAGAAGCAUGCACACUGAUCCUGCCUUUGUGGUAACAACCAUAAUGAACUGGGAGACUGUAAAGACUCCAUGUUCACCUUCAGUGAAAACCUGUGUCCUGCUUUUCCAAUGAGCUGUGAGAAUAACCUGAAGUUAUGAAACCUAUGGCAAACACUAAGUUGAGUGUUGAUUUUUUUUAUUCCUCUCCUCUUCUUUUGUCAGUUGUGUGAAUACAAAUACAAUAACCCUCGUUGUUAAGGAUAUAAUCUUUGCUGCCUAGUUUUCUUUCAUUCAAGAUUGUCAGGAGCUGAGGGGAACAGGAGAGAAGUGUGCUGAUGGCUUAGCAUGUGGAGAUUUCAGUGAGAAUAGGGAGCCAUGCAGUGAGAAUAGGGAACCAAGCAUCCCUGUUGGAUGUGCAGCACAGAUUAGAUCCUGUGUCCAGAUUAAGGAGCAGACACUUCAAGAUCCUGCUUCUCCAGUCAUCCAGGUCAGGUCAAAGUAACAUCCAGUCAGGCUUUGCAUGGCAUGAGGCAGAAACAGGAUUUUCUAGCAUGCUGUGAAAUCUGAUCUCUGGAACUCUCAGUGAAGACAUCUACUUGAUACUUGCAAUGUAAAUUAGCCUGUAUUCUAGUAUCUUUGGAUGUUCACUUUAUCUUUGAUCAGUAUGUUCUCCAUUUGCUGCCCUGAUACACCCAAGGGAGCCCUACAAACUGACAUCAGGAACCUGGACUGCUGAGUUUUCUUUCCCAGGGAAAAUGGAAAAAGGAUG
rnacentral:lncRNA from 1 species